rnacentral:rRNA from 1 species
UGGGGAAUAUUGCACAAUGGGCGCAAGCCUGAUGCAGCCAUGCCGCGUGUGUGAAGAAGGCCUUCGGGUUGUAAAGCACUUUCAGCGAGGAGGAAGGGUAGUGUGUUAAUAGCACAUUGCAUUGACGUUACUCGCAGAAGAAGCACCGGCUAACUCCGUGCCAGCAGCCGCGGUAAUACGGAGGGUGCAAGCGUUAAUCGGAAUUACUGGGCGUAAAGCGCACGCAGGCGGUUUGUUAAGUCAGAUGUGAAAUCCCCGCGCUUAACGUGGAACUGCAUUUGAAACUGGCAAGCUAGAGUCUUGUAGAGGGGGGUAGAAUUCCAGGUGUAGCGGUGAAAUGCGUAGAGAUCUGGAGGAAUACCGGUGGCGAAGGCGGCCCCCUGGACAAAGACUGACGCUCAGGUGCGAAAGCGUGGGGAG